UCGUUCACAAGUUUUUCUGUUUACGCUCCUGGCGUUUCAUUCAGCGGUCACUUCAGGAAACCACCAGGGAACCUUGUCGGAAGUGGGAUAAAAACUUCCCUCUUUCUCUACGUGCUUAAAUCCACUGCUUCAUGGCCAAGAAAUGCUUACUAUGGCACGCCGCCGCAUGACAGCACACCUAAUAGAUGAAGUCACUGAAUUGCUGGAGUAGAACAACUUGAUUGAAAGCUCUAACCCUACUGCCGGAAGGUGGAACUACUGUGCCUUUGCAGAAACUCUACAUGAAGCUUAUCCACGAAUGGUAUGGAAAGAAAAGGAACUUCAGCAGCUUG